GAUGAACGCUGGCGGCGUGCCUAAUACAUGCAAGUCGAGCGAACAGACGAGGAGCUUGCUCCUCUGACGUUAGCGGCGGACGGGUGAGUAACACGUGGAUAACCUACCUAUAAGACUGGGAUAACUUCGGGAAACCGGAGCUAAUACCGGAUAAUAUAUUGAACCGCAUGGUUCAAUAGUGAAAGACGGUUCUGCUGUCACUUAUAGAUGGAUCCGCGCCGCAUUAGCUCGUUGGUAAGGUAACGGCUUACCAAGGCAACGAUGCGUAGCCGACCUGAGAGGGUGGUCGGCCACCCUGGAGCUGAGACACGGUCCAGACUCCUACGGGAGGCAGCAGUAGGGAAUCUUCCGCAAUGGGCGAAAGCCUGACGGAGCAACGCCGCGUGAGUGAUGAAGAUCUUCGGAUCGUAAAACUCUGUUAUUAGGGAAGAACAAAUGUGUAAGUAACUAUGCACGUCUUGACGGUACCGAAUCAGAAAGCCACGGCUAACUACGUG
rnacentral:rRNA from 1 species